UAAGCUAUAGCUUAAGUAUAAGCAUUUCGGUUACGUUGGAAAGAUCACUAAGUUUGGUGUAGCUUAAAU
rnacentral:tRNA from 2 species